GGCUCUUCAUUGCUUAAAAACAAUACUAAACUGCUGAGUACCAAAAUGUCAAAGCCCCAAUAAAUAAUCUGAACAUAGAAAACAAAAAAAGCAUAAAAAAAAAUCUUACAUUCUAGAAAGUCAAACUAGGGAACCAAAUCGCCUCUUCUGUUGUAUUCUAGAACUAUAUUGUCAAUCUGUUGACGAUGAGUGAUGAGAAGCGAUCACUCAAUCGAUCCCAAUGAAGACAUUUUACAGUUCACAAUUGUCAAAUCUGAAUAACUAUGAGUGUGGUAAGCCUUCUCCUUUUUCCUCUAGCAAAAUCUCAAAAGUGCCAGUGUCAGAUUUAUCAGUCUCCAUUUUCUUAGAAGAACGAUCCGUCGAGAGGCUGAUACCGAUGCACAAGAAACAGAUUUAACAGCUUCCGCAUGACACCUCUCGAUUCCGUACCCAACAUCAUCCUCAUUUCUAAUACAAGAUACACUUGAACUUGGAUCAGGAUUUUCCUUAAUUACUCCGUCAGAAUUAUAUUUGAAAGUGCCACCAUCUGAGAAAUAGGUGUCGAAAGGGAAUAACAAAAAAGGGAUGAAAAAGUAUUUACUAACUCUUAGAGCUAAGGUACGACUCGUAGAGACAAGGCAUGAAUCGCACCAAGGCCCGCUCUGAUGGCAAAAGCUGAGAUCCAAAAGAAGUCAAGUCCAGAUCCAAUAUACGAGUCCCUUUUAACGAGUCGUUAGCUCAGGUCAAGAGUCUCUGAUCUGUGUGUAAAUUGUAAAGUCAAAUAUCAGAGAAAAUGCAAUGUUAAGUCAGUGAUUACGGAUAGAAGUCAACGUAUGGAUCAUCCUCACUCAUUCUGGUGAAUUGUGAGAAGAAAGUGCAGAAGGUUGAAAAGUUAAGAGUCAAGUCACCACGGAAGGAAGCUACGAGCCACAUGAUGAAGGUAUGAAUUAUGUUCACUCAUUUGAAAAAUUAUAGGAAGCAACUACUAAAAGGUGCAAAACAUGACCCAGGAGGCAUGACUCAAUGUACGACUCGUAUGAUCAAAGAGUGAGUCGUAUCGAGAGAUAGCAGAAGAACUGAAGAAGGAUAAAGAACGAGCUGCAAUUAUUACCUACGAGUCGUGACUUCACCGUACAACUCAUAGGCAUUGCCGAACAUGCAAUCCCAUUAUAUAUAGGAUAACUUUUGUUUUUAUCUAUAAAUACCUUUCCUAGGUUUUUAUUAUAGUUUACACUCUCUGAAGCCUUGGAAACUUAUUUUAUUCUUGGGUUUUGGAAAAUUACUCAUACUUAGAUUAUUGAUCACUAAUUCUUCUUUGAUAAUUGAAGAUCUCGAUUUAUUCACUCAAUUUGUAAG